rnacentral:rRNA from 1 species
AUUGAACGCUGGCGGCAGGCCUAACACAUGCAAGUCGAACGAGUGGCGGACGGGUGAGUAAUGUCUGGGAAACUGCCUGAUGGAGGGGGAUAACUACUGGAAAAGGUAGCUAAUACCGCAUACCAUCAGAUGUGCCCAGAUGGGAUUAGCUUGUUGGUGGGGUAACGGAUCACCAAGGCGACGAUCCCUAGCUGGGCUGAGAGGAUGACCAGCCACACGGGAACGUAGACACGGUCCAGACUCCUACGGGAGGCAGCAGUGGGGAAUAUUGGACAAUGGGCGCAAGUCUGAUGCAGCCAUGCAGCGUGUAUGAAGAAGGCCUUCGGGUUGUAAAGCACUGUCAGCGGGGAGGCGUUACCCGCAGAAGAAGCACCGGCUAACUCCGUGCCAGCAGCCGCGGUAAUUC